AUUGUACGCUGGCGGCAGGCCUAACACAUGCAAGUCGAGCGAGCGGCGGACGGGUGAGUAAUGUCUGGGAAACUGCCUGAUGGAGGGGGAUAACUCCUGGAAACAGUAGCUAAUACCGCAUACCAUCAGAUUUGCCCAGAUGGGAUUAUCGAGGAGGUGGGGAAACGGCUCACCUAGGCGACGAUCCCUAGCUGGGUUGAGUGGAUGACCAGCCACACUGGAACUGAGACACGGUCCAGACGCCUAAGGGAGGCAGCAGUGGGGAAUAUUGCACAAUGGGCGAAAGCCUGAUGCAGCCAUGCCGCGUGUGUGAAGAAGGCCUUCGGGUUGUAAAGCACUUUCAGCGGGGAGGCGUUACCCGCAGAAGAAGCACCGGCUAACUCCGUGCCAGCAGCCGCGGUAAUAC
rnacentral:rRNA from 1 species